rnacentral:lncRNA from 1 species
AGCAGAGUAUCGCUUCUUGCAGUGUUUGCAAAUAGUAGCAUAGCUGACAGGGUUUUUUUACCUGGCACCUUCUUGAAAAGCUUCUAAAAAUCAUCCCAGACAGCAGAGGUAGAAGGCCAAUUGGAGCCUGCUACCUCACUGUCGCCCUCAACACCAUCGAGAUCGGUCGCAUCCACUUCCACUGGGAGUGGGGGGACAUCUUCGUCACAGGGUAGAGCAUCAGCAGC